UAUGUAGGCGGUUCGGAAAGUCAGAUGUGAAAGCCCGGGGCUCAACCUCGGAACUGCAUCCGAUACUCCCGAACUAGAGUAGUGGAGGGGUAGCUGGAAUUCUCGGUGUAGCAGUGAAAUGCGUAGAUAUCGAGAGGAACACUCGUGGCGAAGGCGAGCUACUGGACACUUACUGACGCUGAGAUACGAAGGCCAGGGUAGCGAAAG
rnacentral:rRNA from 1 species